UUUCCGUAGGUGAACCUGCGGAAGGAUCAUUGUCGAAACCUGCCCAGCAGAACGACCCGCGAACUUGUAUAAACAACCGGGGGCGGGGGGCGUUCUCGCCCCGUGCCCCCGAACGGCGGGGAGACACUCGUGCCUUCUUGCCGAACAACGAACCCCGGCGCUGUCUGCGCCAAGGAACUUCAACUAAAGAGUGCCUCCGGUCGCCUCGGAAACGGCGUGCGUGCCGGGGGCGAAUCUUGUGCAAAACCAUAACGACUCUCGGCAACGGAUAUCUCGGCUCUC
rnacentral:misc_RNA from 1 species